AUACGUAGGUGGCAAGCGUUGUCCGGAAUUAUUGGGCGUAAAGCGCGCGCAGGCGGUCCUUUAAGUCUGAUGUGAAAGCCCACGGCUCAACCGUGGAGGGUCAUUGGAAACUGGGGGACUUGAGUGCAGAAGAGGAAAGUGGAAUUCCAAGGGUAGCGGUGAAAUGCGUAGAGAUUUGGAGGAACACCAGUGGCGAAGGCGACUUUCUGGUCUGUAACUGACGCUGAGGCGCGAAAGCGUGGGGAGCAAACAGGAUUAGAUACCCUGGUAGUCCACGCCGUAAACGAUGAGUGCUAAGUGUUAGGGGGUUUCCGCCCCUUAGUGCUGCAGCUAACGCAUUAAGCACUCCGCCUGGGGAGUACGGUCGCAAGACUGAAACUCAAAUGAAUUGACGGGG
rnacentral:rRNA from 1 species